UACGUAGGGCGCAAGCGUUGUCCGGAAUUACUGGGCGUAAAGGGCGCGUAGGCGGCCUUCUAAGUCGAACGUGAAAUCCCCGGGCUCAACCCGGGAACUGCGUCCGAUACUGGAAGGCUUGAAUCCGGGAGAGGGAUGUGGAAUUCCAGGUGUAGCGGUGAAAUGCGUAGAUAUCUGGAGGAACACCGGUGGCGAAGGCGACAUCCUGGACCGGUAUUGACGCUGAGGCGCGAAAGCCAGGGGAG
rnacentral:rRNA from 1 species